rnacentral:rRNA from 1 species
UUUCGGCCUUGGCCUAUUUUCGCGGUCCGUUGCCGGACAACUAUCGUCGGCGCUUAGGCGUUUCACUUCUGAAUUCGGAAUGGGAUCAGGUGGUUCCGCCUAGCUCUUAAAGACCGAA